GUUUGCACUUGUCGGGGAAGGGUGAGAACCUUCGAUUAAGGUUCGACUCGAGCGAAAGCGAGAGAACGUUGCCAACGGCAACGGCCCGUAGGGUGAGGAGCGAAGCGACGAAUGAUCCUUCCCCCACCACCA
rnacentral:sRNA from 6 species